rnacentral:rRNA from 1 species
UACGGAGGGUGCGAGCGUUGUCCGGAAUCACUGGGCGUAAAGGGCGCGUAGGCGGCCCGGCAAGUCAGUGGUGAAAGCCCGAGGCUCAACUUCGGGUCGGCCACUGAUACUGCUAGGCUUGAGUCGACUAGAGGCAGAUGGAAUUCCGGGUGUAGCGGUGGAAUGCGUAGAGAUCCGGAAGAACACCGGUGGCGAAGGCGGUCUGCUGGGGUCGAACUGACGCUGAGACGCGAAAGCGUGGGGAGCAAACAGG